GAUCCCGUAGCUCAGUUCGGUAGAGCGUCUGACUUUUAAUCAGUAGGUCGCGCGUUCGAUUCGCGCCGGGAUCA
rnacentral:tRNA from 5 species